GACGAACGCUGGCGGCGUGCUUAACACAUGCAAGUCGAACGGAAAGGCCCCCUUGUGGGGUACUCGAGUGGCGAACGGGUGAGUAACACGUGAGUAACCUACCCUUGACUUUGGGAUAACUUCAGGAAACUGGGGCUAAUACCGGAUAGGAGCUCCUGCUGCAUGGUGGGGGUUGGAAAGUUUCGGCGGUUGGGGUUGGACUCGUGGCUUAUCAGCUUGUUGGUGGGGUAGUGGCUCACCAAGGCUUUGACGGGUAGCCGGCCUGAGAGGGUGACCGGCCACAUUGGGACUGAGAUACGGCCCAGAAUCCUACGGGAGGCAGCAGUGGGGAAUAUUGCACAAUGGGCGGAAGCCUGAUGCAGCAACGCCGCGUGCGGGAUGACGGCCUUCGGGUUGUAAACCGCUUUCGCCUGUGACGAAGCGUGAGUGACGGUAAUGGGUAAAGAAGCACCGGCUAACUACGUG
rnacentral:rRNA from 1 species